rnacentral:rRNA from 1 species
CAGGCUUAACACAUGCAAGUCGAGGGGCAGCAUGGUCUUAGCUUGCUAAGGCCGAUGGCGACCGGCGCACGGGUGAGUAACACGUAUCCAACCUGCCGUCUACUCUUGGACAGCCUUCUGAAAGGAAGAUUAAUACAAGAUGGCAUCAUGAGUCCGCAUGUUCACAUGAUUAAAGGUAUUCCGGUAGACGAUGGGGAUGCGUUCCAUUAGAUAGUAGGCGGGGUAACGGCCCACCUAGUCUUCGAUGGAUAGGGGUUCUGAGAGGAAGGUCCCCCACAUUGGAACUGAGACACGGUCCAAACUCCUACGGGAGGCAGCAGUGAGGAAUAUUGGUCAAUGGGCGAGAGCCUGAACCAGCCAAGUAGCGUGAAGGAUGACUGCCCUAUGGGUUGUAAACUUCUUUUAUAAAGGAAUAAAGUCGGGUAUGGAUACCCGUUUGCAUGUACUUUAUGAAUAAGGAUCGGCUAACUCCGUGCCAGCAGCCGCGGUAAUACGGAGGAUCCGAGCGUUAUCCGGAUUUAUUGGGUUUAAAGGGAGCGUAGAUGGAUGUUUAAGUCAGUUGUGAAAGUUCGCGGCUCAACCGUAAAAUUGCAGUUGAUACUGGAUAUCUUGAGUGCAGUUGAGGCAGGCGGAAUUCGUGGUGUAGCGGUGAAAUGCUUAGAUAUCACGAAGAACUCCGAUUGCGAAGGCAGCCUGCUAAGCUGCAACUGAAAUUGAAGCUCGAAAGUGUGGGUAUCAAACAGGAUUAGAUACCCCUGGUAGUCCACACGGUAAACGAUGAAUACUCGCUGUUUUGCGAUAUACUGCAAGCGGCCAAGCGAAAGCGUUAAGUAUUCCACCUGGGGAGUACGCCGGCAACGGUGAAACUCAAAGGAAUUGACGGGGGCCCGCACAAGCGGAGGAACAUGUGGUUUAAUUCGAUGAUACGCGAGGAACCUUACCCGGGCUUAAAUUGCAGAUGAAUUACGGUGAAAGCCGUAAGCCGCAAGGCAUCUGUGAAGGUGCUGCAUGGUUGUCGUCAGCUCGUGCCGUGAGGUGUCGGCUUAAGUGCCAUAACGAGCGCAACCCUUGUUGUCAGUUACUAACAGGUUCCGCUGAGGACUCUGACAAGACUGCCAUCGUAAGAUGUGAGGAAGGUGGGGAUGACGUCAAAUCAGCACGGCCCUUACGUCCGGGGCUACACACGUGUUACAAUGGGGGGUACAGAGGGCCGCUACCACGCGAGUGGAUGCCAAUCCCCAAAACCUCUCUCAGUUCGGACUGGAGUCUGCAACCCGACUCCACGAAGCUGGAUUCGCUAGUAAUCGCGCAUCAGCCACGGCGCGGUGAAUACGUUCCCGGGCCUUGUACACACCGCCCGUCAAGCCAUGGGAGCCGGGGGUACCUGAAGUGCGUAACCGCGAGGAGCGCCCUAGGGUAAAACUGGUGACUGGGGCUAA